rnacentral:rRNA from 1 species
CCCUUAGAUGUCCUGGGCUGCACGCGCGCUACACUGAUGUGUCCAGUAAGCACCUAACCUCUUCCGAAAGGAACGGGUAACCUUCGCAAAGCACAUCGUGAUGGGGAUAGAUUAUUGCAAUUAUUAGUCUUGAACGAGGAAUUCCUAGUAAGCACAAGUCAUCAGCUUGUGUUGAUUACGUCCCUGCCCUUUGUACACACCGCCCGUCGCUCCUACCGAUUGAAUGUUCCGGUGAGCUCUUCGGACUGCGCGGUCUGCAGUUUCUGCGUUCCGUGCGGAAAGUUGCGCAAACCUUAACAUUUAGAGGAAGGAGAAGUCGUAACA